CCUACGGGGCGCAGCAGUCGGGAAUAUUGCGCAAUGGAGGAAACUCUGACGCAGUGACGCCGCGUGCAGGAAGAAGGUUUUCGGAUUGUAAACUGCUUUAGACAGGGAAGAAAAAAGACAGUACCUGUAGAAUAAGCUCCGGCUAACUACGUGCCAGCAGCCGCGGUAAUACGUAGGGAGCAAGCGUUAUCCGGAUUUAUUGGGUGUAAAGGGUGCGUAGACGGGAAGGCAAGUCAGAUGUGAAAUCUGGAGGCUCAACCUCCAAAUUGCAUUUGAAACUGUUUUUCUUGAGUACUGGAGAGGCAGACGGAAUUCCUGGUGUAGCGGUGAAAUGCGUAGAUAUAAGGAGGAACACCAGUGGCGAAGGCGGUCUGCUGGACAGCAACUGACGGUGAGGCGCGAAAGCGUGGGGAGCAAACAGGAUUAGAUACCCGAGUAGUC
rnacentral:rRNA from 1 species